UUCAAUUACUGAACAAUACUGUUGCAGUGAAUAGUUUGGAUGUGAACUUAGGUUUAAGUGUAUUGUAAAUACACCGCACCAUCUAGGAGAACAGAGUUUACUCUGUUCUUUUAUUUAUUCU
ncrna:unclassified sequences DTF3800-I RNA